rnacentral:rRNA from 1 species
UGGGGAAUCUUGGACAAUGGGCGCAAGCCUGAUCCAGCCAUGCCGCGUGGAUGAUGAAGGCCUUAGGGUUGUAAAAUCCUUUCGCCGAGGACGAUAAUGACGGUACUCGGAGAAGAAGCUCCGGCUAACUUCGUGCCAGCAGCCGCGGUAAUACGAAGGGGGCUAGCGUUGUUCGGAUUUACUGGGCGUAAAGCGCGUGUAGGCGGGUCGUUAAGUUGGGGGUGAAAUCCCGAGGCUCAACCUCGGAACUGCCUUCAAAACUGGCGACCUGGACCUAAGUAGAGGCAAGUGGAAUUGCGAGUGUAGAGGUGAAAUUCGUAGAUAUUCGCAGGAACGCCAGUGGCGAAGGCGACUUGCUGGACUUAUGGUGACGCUGAGACGCGAAAGCGUGGGGAGCAAACAGGAUUAGAUACCCGAGUAGUCCCUGAGCGGGCUGGCAAGGCGCAU